UACAGCUUUUGUCACUCUGCUCUGAUCUACUAUUCCCGAAACAUCCCUGGUGGCAAAACUAUGUCAGUCUCUGGAAAAUUUUCCCUCAAGUCCCUCAGUUUUCAGUUAUUAAUGAAAAAAAAAAAAGUAAGAAAAUGUUAAAGGUACUGAGAAAAGUCCAGAGUUUACAUCUGGUUUCAACGAUUUCAACUUGCGCAACACUCCAUGUUUGUGAAAGUGACCCAGGAAAUCUUUGAACAGGAUGUAAUCAACCUCCGAUCCGCUGAGAAACACUGCAAGAAUGACUUCAGCUGCCAAAAAUAAUAAUGUCGCUUACAAGCAGUUCUUCCUAUGCCUGAGGAAGGAGUCACACAUGUGCGUCUCUGCUGGCUUCGGGGAAGCAAGCAAGGAAAAAGGCAACUCCUACCGUCCCCAGCCGAAACCACCCAGCACCAGAACAGGGAGCUGUGGUUCAUUCCAAGGGUGCUGGCAAUAUUGAGGAAGAUUCGUAUUCACAAAAAUCCGAACGAAAAUCCUGAAUGUCCAAGAAGGUAAAGGCCAAUUGCAGUUUCAUUGAGCCAAUUAAUUCUAUCAAAGUGUCUGUGAUAAAGUUCCUUCCUCACAUCUGAGUACAUAAAGGCUGAAAUAGAAGGGGUUCUUUUGCUUUGAAGUAACCAGCUGAAGGCUGACUGGAGUAAUUGAAAAGAUACCAACCAAGGAUCUUCAAAUUUGAAUGCAAAUGAUUAUCAGUUCUCUCCAUAGGCAUCCCUCCGUAACACCGCCUUUGGCAAUAGUCCUUUACUAUCUAUGGCACCCAUGGACUUCUCUCUCAAACUGUUGCUGUAUCAUCUGAACUUCCCUCUGCCCCGAUGCCCUGCCACAGUUUAUUCAAACUGUGGCACCAGAAACAGAGGCUACAAGUAUGUUUGUAAUAAACAAUGGUCAGAAUAUUCAUGAUUGUGUGUCCCAAAAAUAAUGAUCACCAUACUUCCUAAUAACACCAAUUGCUUUCAAAUAAUGUAUGCCUUGCUUGUUUUUUUCUUCUUUUACAGAAUUGACAUUUUAUUGCAAUCGAUAUUUUUGCCUCCUUUUUUCAUGCCUUCUCUGACUUGUACAAUUUAUUUUGGUUUUACCUCUAUUGCUUUAAAUGUUAAUUGUCUUUUCAAAACAGUACCCUAUUUAAUGGGAGCAAUUAGAAAAAGAAGUUUAAGUAAUACAUACACAUCACAGAGACAGAUACCUGGUGAAAAGAAGAUAAGAUACACUUUUAAGAAGUGAGUACAACUGAAGUGAAAGUUUACUUCAAAUACUUGAACAAGCACUAAUUUUUUCCAUCAAGAGAAAUGAUAGUAUGUAAAUAUGAGACUUUCAUUUCGUCAUCAAUAAUUUUCCCAAGGGAACCAAGUCACUACAUUAAUUUUAAGACAGGGGAACUCUUUCCAGAUAUUUUCUGAAAUACAAAACAAAAUAAAACAAAAAACCAAAAAAACCCUGAAAACCUAGAUAACUUUGAAUAUAGUGAUGGAUUUUGGGGUAUACACCAAAAGCAUGAUCCAUAAAAGAAAUAAUUGUUAAGUUGGACAUAAUAAAGAUCAGGAAAUAAAUAAAUAAA